GACGAACGCUGGCGGCGUGCUUAACACAUGCAAGUCGAACGGUGGAGCGCCAUCCUUUUUGGUGUGUGUGUAUGAGUGGCGAACUGGUGAGUAACACGAGAGUAACCUGCUCCCUUCUUCUGGAUAACGGCAUGAAAGUGUGGCUAAUACGGGAUAUUCUGGGUCUGUCGCAUCAUGGGUCUGGGAAAGAUUUUGUUUCGGUGGGGGAUGGUCUCGCGGCGUAUUAGCUUGUUGGUAGGGUGAUGGCGUACCAAGGCGGCGACGACUAGCCGGCCUGAGAGGAGGAUCGGCGGCCAUGGAACUGAUACGCGGUCGCGACUCCUACGGGAGGCGGCAGUAGGGGGUAUUAGGGAAUGGUCGGAAGACUGAUGAAGCAGCGCCGCGGGGGGGGGGAUGGUCUUCGUCGGGUUGAGCACUUUUUUCGGGAGAGAAGAAGGGCUGACUAGUGUGUGGGUGGGUUGACGGUACCUAGAUAAGAAGCCCCGGCUAACUACGUG
rnacentral:rRNA from 1 species